UGUUAAAGAUUUUAUCCAUUUCUACUGUUAAAAACUAACGUAACUGACAGAAUAACUAGACAAAUACAUGUGUCAUACUAUGUGUACCUCAUUAUGUCAUACAGUGACCAACUUUUAAUAAUAGAAAUGGAUAAAACUUUUAACA
rfam:Gossypium hirsutum cultivar TM-1 chromosome 22, whole genome shotgun sequence